CCUGGGGCUGGAGUCGGUCCCAACGGGUUGGGCUGUUCGCCCAUUAAAGCGGUACGCGAGCUGGGUUUAGAACGUCGUGAGACAGUUCGGUCCCUAUCCGCUGUGCGCGUAGGAGCCUUGAGAAGGGCUGUCCCUAGUACGAGAGGACCGGGACGGACGAACCUCUGGUGUGCCAGUUGUUCUGCCAAGGGCAUGGCUGGUUGGCUACGUUCGGGAGGGAUAACCGCUGAAAGCAUCUAAGCGGGAGGCCUGCUUCGAGAUGAGGACUCCCACCUCCUAGAGAGGGUAAGGCUCCCAGUAGACGACUGGGUUGAUAGGCCGGAUAUGGAAGCACGGUAACGUGUGGAGUUGACCGGUACUAAUA
rnacentral:ncRNA from 1 species